GAUCCACCACCGAUGCUAGAGUCGACCCGAUAGUCAUUGUUCCCUUGCUCCUGGACGUAGCCCGUUGACGUCGCAGACCUCUGUCGGCUGAAAGAAAAACAAAAUUCGAGUUGAAACAUUUCCAGCACAGAUGGGGCAGUCGUGUUAGUCCAAGCUAAAAUUGGGUACAGCAUUGUUUGCCCACCUGUAAUCGGCGUAGACACCGCGAGGAGGGACGGCGAAUGGAGUAGGAACACCGCCAAUCGCACGCAGGCGCUGUUGUAAAUUCGUUCUGCAUUGAACAGGAAGACAAUUUAAUUAUUAAAACUCAGCGACGCGCCAAAGGAGUUCAGACAGACAGACAGACAAACAAGUUACCCAGUAUUUGAAGAAUUUUGAACGUCGUGAAUCGAUAGAGGGCGGGCAAAGUUAAGUCCCAUGGCGGCGCCAUCGGCAUUCAACAGAUCAUCGGGGGUGUGAGAUCUCGAUCGCUGGCCUUCACCCCCUCGGUUAGCUCUAAAAGGAUGAGGUGAUCCGCGGACGUUGGGCCCGCGGAGA